rnacentral:rRNA from 1 species
UACGUAGGGUGCGAGCGUUGUCCGGAAUUAUUGGGCGUAAAGAGCUCGUAGGCGGUCUGUCGCGUCGGCUGUGAAAUCCCGAGGCUCAACCUCGGGUCUGCAGUCGAUACGGGCAAACUAGAGUAUUGCAGGGGAGACUGGAAUUCCUGGUGUAGCGGUGAAAUGCGCAGAUAUCAGGAGGAACACCGGUGGCGAAGGCGGGUCUCUGGGCAAUAACUGACGCUGAGGAGCGAAAGCGUGGGGGAGCGAACAGG